ensembl:lncRNA
GAAUCUUUCAAUACUGGACCAGUUAUACUGGUUAUGCACAGCAAGGGUGAGGCGGCCCUUCUUUCAAAAUUUCCAUUUUGUUCGUUGGUGCAGCAUGUGGUGAUGGAGUGAGCAGCUGUGAGGUGUUUAAAACAAAAAAAAAGCCUUGAGCAGUUAUCUUCAUGAGAUAAGAGAAGCCGGAAUAUAUAUCUGUUUUUUUUUUUUAUUAUUCCUCCGAAUUCUCAUUCUCGACCAUGAAAUCUGCAGUCUGGGUGGGUCUCUCUUUGCUACUGACAAUGGGACUGACUCUCAUCGUUUUUGGCCAACGGUCAAUGAUGGACAGGCUGAAACAGGAUGGCUUGAGUCUGGACAUAAAGCUGAAGGCGCGGGAGCAGUUUGCCAAGGAACAGACAUUCCUCCAGCAUCUUCUCAUCAAGCAACUGGAGGGCAAAACAAAUGCCGUGGCGCAGAGGGAGGAGGAACUGAAAUCGGUGGUUUCAGAAAAAGACACGAAGGUUAAGGAAGCGUCGGACUGUCAAGGGGAACAGGGAAAACUGGGAGAAGAAGUUCAGACUAUGGAAAAGGAGAAAUCGGAUGCUGAAGCAAACUUCGGUUCCUUGAAGACCCAGCUGAGUGGGGAUAUCAGUACACUUAAACAGCAGAUGGAGCAGCGCAGUAAAAUAUGUGACUUUGUGAAGAAGGACUCUGAUGGAUAUAAACAAUGCAACCCGAAUGAUGGAAGUCCAACUCCGGAAAGUACGCAACUGGCUUAAAUUUACCCAUUGCUCCAGUGUGACGGCAACUUGACUUUCUUCAUUUUGUCAUGUUUUACGAGGCUGAGCUGCAUGAGAAUUGCAAGAGCAUAUUUAUUUAGACAAGAGGGUGACUUCUUAAGACAGUGUUGACUUCCAUGUAAUAAAACAGGCUUUUCUGGAAUGCCA